rnacentral:rRNA from 1 species
GUAGGUGGCAAGCGUUGUCCGGAUUUAUUGGGCGUAAAGCGCGCGCAGGCGGCUAUGUAAGUCUGGUGUUAAAGCCCGGGGCUCAACCCCGGUUCGCAUCGGAAACUGUGUAGCUUGAGUGCGGAAGAGGAAAGCGGUAUUCCACGUGUAGCGGUGAAAUGCGUAGAGAUGUGGAGGAACACCAGUGGCGAAGGCGGCUUUCUGGUCUGUAACUGACGCUGAGGCGCGAAAGCGUGGGGAGCAAACAGGAUUAGAUACCCUGGUAGUCCACGCCGUAAACGAUGAGUGCUAGGUGUUGGGGGUUUCAAUACCCUCAGUGCCGCAGCUAACGCAAUAAGCACUCCGCCUGGGGAGUACGCUCGCAAGAGUG